UCCGGGAGGCCGGGCUGAGGCCACUCCGCCCGGGGCUCGGCCCAUUCUGGUUCCCGGGCCGAGAGCAAGAGCGCGAGCGAGAGCGGCGGCCCCGCGGGGAGCGGGCGGAGGUUCUGGGCUCGGGACGCUUCGACGAACUGCGACGCUUCCCCGCGGAGCCCGAGGCCUCCCGGUCUGGGUUGCAGAACCGGACACUGGAGCCAUUGCUCCGGGGAAGUAGGGAACUCUCUCACGAGCCUGGGAAAAUCGCAGUGGCCGCGGCUCCCAGAAGCCACCUGCGCAACCUCCCAAAGCUGAGAAAAACUUAGAAAUCGUUCCGGGUACGUCGGCAAAACCCUUCCCCCGGGCUACGAGGCGUCCAGCUGAAGUGAAAGGGGCGGUGUAUCCUUGUAAACAAGCCGCCGCUGCCGCCGGCUCCGAGCGCCCAUCCUUCCAGUUCCGCAGGCGUCUCUCUCUCCCCGACCCGGUCUCCUUUGGUUAGGAGACCGCGUCUUUCUCAGCCGUAUCCAUGAAAUAACCGAAGGAAAGGAUGAUGGACCACAGGAUACAUUUCAAAGAGUGGCCAUAUCAGCAACACAGUCUUGCGUUUCAGAAUCUAAGUUUCACGAAGACUGGGACUUCGUCUUGAAGACUAUAUCCACACUGCCUACAACAUUGGCUGGCACAGAAUAGGUAUUAAAUGAUACAUAUUUAAUGAA